GUGCCUUUCUUGAGCUUCAAUAAAAUCACUAUAAACUCUCAGCAUGUCCCAGGCAAUAGCCCUUUGACACCUCACAUAAUGUGCAAGAAAAAAAGUAUUUAAAUUUUUAGAAAAAUAUCAGUGAAUUAAAUAAAGAAAAGGAAAAAACAGUUUUGGUUAAAAACCUUAAGAAUAAGUAUUGGAAUCCCUUAAUUAGUACAUUAGCUGUAAAUUAGAAUGUGU
rnacentral:misc_RNA from 1 species